UAUGAACAAGAGUUUAUAGCAAUAAUAUAGUGGGUACUGCCAUUGUUGAGGGAGAGAAGUUGCGUAUUGCCAUUGUUGAAGGAGAAAAGUCAAGGAUUUUAGGAUUUACGUGAUUAAGAUAGUAGUAAGGUUGUAGAGGUUCAUAAUGGGGCGUGAGAGGUGGUUCCAUGAGAGACUGAGAACUUGGAGAUGAGCGAGUAAGGUUAUGACCUUGAACGACCUGUGUGGGGUGAGUGAGGGAGAGAAGUGAAGGGUCACUCAGAGGUGAGUGAGUGAGGUAUUAAGCUUGUAAAACUUGUAAAUGAGGUAUUGUUAUAGAUAUUAAUCAAAUUAAAUGCUUCAUGAAGAUCAAAGGUCAUUUACCGGGCCUAUAAGGAUAUGCCGGGCUCGAUCGUUGUCAGGCCUUUUUUUUUUUUUUUUUUCCAUCUUUUGUUAUAAAUAUGUUUUUGGUUUUUAGCUAUUAAGUGCUUAUUUUAUUUUAACAUUUCAGGAAAUCUAGUAAGAUAAUUACUUUUCUCCACAUAUGUUCUAAUAAACAUAAUAAUCAAAAUGCUUGAUAUGUUUAUUAAGUCAUAAAAUUUUCAUCAGG
rnacentral:lncRNA from 1 species